rnacentral:lncRNA from 1 species
UUUAAUUUUUUUUGGUAAGAAUGUAUGUAAGUUAUCUGAAUUAUGGACCGCUUGGCUUUGACUAUUCAACUUUUUAAAAUUUUGAUUUUAGUAUUCAAAUUUUCAAUUUGUUUGAUUUAGAUCAGUUAAUAGCACACUAAUUUUUAAAUUUGAAUGUAUCAUUUAUUUGUACAAGUUUAGUUAGUAUACUUUAUUUAAUUCUUACAAUUAUAAAUUUCCUUGAAAAAAUAAUUAACAUAAAUUUUAAAAUUAAAAUAAUAUUCACUGACUCAAAUUAAAUAAAUUAAAAAUUUAGAUAAUAAAAUUAAAUUUCCAAACGUGAGGUCGUCGAUUUAAAAUGAUCUAUAGCUCAGAUAAGUUUUUAUAUAUAUCUAGCUCUAUUUUUUUUAUUAAAA